UACAGAGGUCCCAAGCGUUGUUCGGAUUCACUGGGCGUAAAGGGUGCGUAGGCGGCCCGGUAAGUCCGCUGUGAAAGUCGGGGGCUCAACCCUCGAAUGCCGGUGGAUACUGUCGGGCUAGAGUGCGGAAGAGGCGAGUGGAAUCCUGGUGUAGCGGGUGAAAUGACGCAGAUAUCAGGAGGAACACCGAUUGCGAAGGCAGCUCGCUGGGACGUAACUGACGCUGAGACGCGAAAGCGUGGGGAGCAAACAGG
rnacentral:rRNA from 1 species